rnacentral:rRNA from 1 species
AUACGGAGGAUGCGAGCGUUAUCCGGAUUUAUUGGGUUUAAAGGGUGCGUAGGCGGACAGAUAAGUCAGUGGUGAAAUCACUCAGCUUAACUGAGUAACUGCCAUUGAUACUGUUAGUCUAGAAUGUAAAUGGAGUAGGCGGAAUGAAUCAUGUAGAGGUGACAUUCAUAGAUAUGAUUCAGAACACCGAUCGCGAAGGCAGCUUGCUAAGAUACAAAUGACGCUGAGGCACGAAAUCGUGGGUAGCAAACAGGAUUAGAUACCCUGGUAGUCCACGCUGUAAACGAUGAAUACUAGGUGUAGGGGGUAUCAACUCCCUCUGUGCCGCAGCAAACGCAAUAAGUAUUCCGCCUGGGGAGUACGGCCGCAAGGUUGAAACUUAAAGGAAUUGACGGGG